rnacentral:lncRNA from 1 species
UUCAACAUAUUCUCUAAAUCCUUCAUGUCAUCUUCUUCUGUCCUAGGUUUCAAAGCAAUAGAAUUUCCUCCUCCGACAAAUCCACCAUUUGGCCCCAUUGGUGGUCUAGGCAUCGGAGGCGGAACACCAACACCUCUAGGUACAAACCCACCAUUUGGCCCCAUUGGUGGUCUAGGCAUCGGAGGCGGAACACCAACACCUCUAGGCAUCCCCAUCAUACCCACCAUACCUCUAUGCCCACCUCUCGGACCCAUAUUGCCGGGAAACAUAGCUGUCAUCCCCUGCGUAUGUGAAUGCUCCCACAUUUCACUCAUUGCCCUUCCCAUUCCCAUAAAUCCUCCAUU